AGAAUCCUCUGGUGGCCUGAGUUGGGGAAACGGGGUGCCCGUACGGGGUUCAGAGCCCAGGAACCUGCCUUCAGGAACCUGCCUGGCCUGUCCAAUCCGAAGCUUUGCCCUUUUAAAACCAAAUUGCUCUCUGCAGUUUAAGCUCCUGGCCAUUUCCUGUUUUGCCCUGAUUCAACCUGCAGAGCCGGAUUGCACCCUCUUGGCCGGGUCCUGGGAGAGCAGCCGCCUCCGGCGCCUCCGCUGUGCUCGGCCAAGUGGAACCCCUGAACAAAUGCCCUCGGGAGCGCUCCCGGCCUGGCCGGCUGCAGUUGGAGACACAGCGCCAUCUAGUGGAAGAGAGAAAAAAGCCCCAGUUGCUUUUUUUUUUUUUUUUUUUUUUAAAUUAGUGGAGAAACCUUGAAAUGGACUGAGAAUCAACCUUUCUCGUUUGAUACCAAAGGAGCUUGAGGCCAAAGCAAAUCCAGAGAAGGAAAUGGAUUUCCUGAGUGUCACACAGCCAGCCAGUGGCAGCUUUGACGCUACAGAACCUCAUCAUUUGAGGCGCAGUUCAGCAGUCUUGGCACCAUGCCACGGUGAGGAAACCAGAAGGUGAAAAAGCUAAUUUCGGUUGAGUGGCAUUUCAGAGCUCUGCUGAGGUGGAGGUGAACAUAUGCUGGGGGCUGAUGUCGAAAGAGAAGUUGUCAGUUAUUUACUGUUCUACAGAAUGCCUUGGCUGGACUCUCGGUGAUGGGUGCAGGGCUAGGGAAAAUUCAGUUAUCUGCCCUGCCCCUUACACUCCAAUCGGCCCUGAAACUCACACAGGAUAAGAUCAUGUAAAUUACACUGGGUUAGGGAGCAGGAGGGGCCACAGAGGGUCACUCGUGCCCUGAAGGUGGAGAAGGGAACGAGAGUUUACGGAAUGUUGGCCCCAAAAUUUCUUAUCCCCUUUUCCCUGAUAAGGAAAAAUUUGAGCCUCUGAUCUCAGUUCUACCUCCUUCUCCUGCUUCUUAGAAACUCCUGCAACUCUGGGUUUCUGGUCUUGAGAUCCCAGACAAGGGGUGGGGCCAGCACCCUUGUUUUCUGCUCUCUGGAGACUGCCGUGACCUGGAUGAAACAGGACUGCCGUGAGGAACUGCGCAGUACUUGGACUUUUCAGCCAAUCUACAGCUAAAAGGCACAUCCACGCAGUAGACUGUUGCCCACGAUUGUGGAGGGGGAAAUGCUAGCUGCAUUAUUCAGUGUCAGUUUCAGGGGUGGAGGGAAAGGUUAAAACCAAUGCCUAACUUCAUUCCUUCAAAAGAAAAUCCUAAAUGUUGACUUGAAACAUAUGGCUAUGCUUUGGGAUAAAUCGUAGUCUAGUUUCUCAUGGCUAUCCUAAAACAGCAAAAGGAUCUCUCGGCUGCAUUCUCUUCCUUCAGAGCCUGGGCCCUUCCCUUAACUCCUAGGCCAUCAUCCCAGCAGGAAGGACCAAGCCCAUCUUGCCUUAAACCGAAGGUUGCUGGCAGAGUUUCAGGCUGUAUACAAACACCGUCAUAACUGGGGUGUGCUCCUGACCAGAGACCUGGCUCCAAAUGCAUCCUGGUGAUAUCCCCAGCAUAGUCUAAAAGCUAACGUAUCCCGGAAGCUCUGCGAUCAUUUAUCAGAAGAACUCUCAGACAAGCCUUUCGUCCUUGACACUGGCAAGGCCCUCAGCGCGUGACUCAGUGUCCUGCACUGAGCCUGUCCCUCCCCAACCACACAUGCCGGAUCCCCUUUCCCUCCUCCCCUGGCCUUGAUCUUGAGGCUGUUAGCCUGCUAGUUGUUCUGCAUUGGCUGGUUCUUCUCUUUUCCUCUCUGAAUUCCUUUCACUAAAAGACUUUGGAACAAUUCAUAAUUUCAUACGCCUUCCCAUCCCUGCAACUCCCACAUGACAGAAUCCACCCUGUGAUGAGCCUCAGACUGUCAUAACAGCAACCCUCCACAGAUGACUAAGCCUAAGGGAACCCCCAUGUAACACAGGUCAGAGCCCUCACACAGCCUGAAGAUACCUCAAAUCCUCUACGCCUUAAGGUGAAAGGGUAGCUAAGUAGGACAUUUCUUUUCCCAAAAGAUGUUUGUUGAGUUCUUUCCAUGUGUCAGUACUUUCCAAGGCUCUCUCAGGAGACAGAUACGAAUAAAACGGACAGGCCA